CCAGACUCCUACGGGAGGCAGCAGUCGGGAAUAUUGCGCAAUGGAGGAAACUCUGACGCAGUGACGCCGCGUAUAGGAAGAAGUUUUUCGGAAUGUAAACUAUUGUCGUUAGGGAAGAGAAAGGACAGUACCUAAGGAGGAAGCUCCGGCUAACUACGUGCCAGCAGCCGCGGUAAUACGUAGGGGGCAAGCGUUAUCCGGAUUCACUGGGUGUAAAGGGAGCGUAGACGGCGACGCAAGUCUGGAGUGAAAGCCCGGGGCCCAACCCCGGGACUGCUCUGGAAACUGCGUCGCCGGAGUACGGGAGGGGCAGGCGGAAUUCCUGGUGUAGCGGUGAAAUGCGUAGAUAUCAGGAGGAACACCGGUGGCGAAGGCGGCCUGCUGGACUGCAACUGACGUUGAGGCCCGAAAGCGUGGGGAGCAAACAGGAUUAGAUACCCGGGUA
rnacentral:rRNA from 1 species